AUAGAAAGAGUGCCCUCUUCGGGGGUCUUUCAUGUGGGGGCUCGUCCGGGAUAGAGACCCCCCACCCAGGGACCACCGACCCAUUUUCGGGAGGUAAGCUGGCCAGCAUCUGUGUGUCGUCUGUGUGCGGUCUGUAAGUUGUCUGAAGUCUUGUGUGGCCAAUUUCUGUGCGCUUGCGAAUCUGGUGAGUUCGGCCGUUCUCGUCUGUAUCAGGCGGACCCGUGGAGGAGCUGACGAGCUCGUACUCCCGACCGCGGUCCCCAGGAGACGUCUUGGGGGCUUCUGGGAGCCUGAAAAAGUGGCUCAUCGGAGGGCCUGAAAAAGUGGCCCAUCUGGAACCCGGUCCUUUUGGACGCGUGGUUCAUCAGGGGAGACGAGAGAUCCGGACUCUCAAUAAAGU